CUGAGUCUAGGCUCUCGCUCGCGAGGCCUGACCGAUUAACCCAGUGUCAAAACUACACCUUGAAUGUUGCUUCGGCGGGACGGUCUACCCUGACCGCCGGAGGACUGGCCCUGCUGGUCCUCUGGAGCGUUGCCCGCCGAUGGCCUAUUUCAAAUACUUGUACUAAACCAUGAUGCCUAAACAAUACCCAUGAAUAAUGGAUAAAACA
rnacentral:misc_RNA from 1 species